CGAGAAGGGUGUGCUGCAGAAGCACAAGCGGGCCUUGCACAAAUACAGCCUGAUGAAGAGGCAGAUGAUGAGCGCCGCCGUGCAGAACCGCGAGCCGGAGUCCGUGGAGCAGCUGGAGUCCCGCAUUGUGGAGCAGGAGAAUGCGAUUCAGACCAUGGAGCUGCGGAACUACUUCUCCCUGUACUGCCUCCACCAGGAGACGCAGCUCAUCCACGUCUACCUGCCCCUCAUCUCCCACAUCCUCCGUGCCUUCGUGAACUCCCAGAUCCAAGGGCACAAGGAGGUGAGUCCCCCCUUGCUCAGGAUGCUGUCUUGGCCUCGGCCUUCCUUUUUUCCCUGACGCCCUUCCCUCAAGCCUGGCAGUGCGGUGGCCGGCCGCCCUCGAGAGGUUCUUUAGUGGAGUUGGGGUCCACAUGGAAUAUGGUGCUCACCUAGAUCUUCUAGUCUCCUUUGUAGCCAAAGUCAGAAUCAUGAGGGUGUCCCUGUGAUUCCUGGGGGCGGAGGGAGGAAGGGACAGGGACAGUUUGCUUUCCAGAGGGAUUUGAGAAGUCAGAGGUAAAGGCUGCAGAGCUCCCACACCCUGUGGCUGAGACAAGGGUUCUGAGUGCUUGGGAGCGCUGUAGGUGGGGUGUUUGUCCAAAGAGCAUGGGCCAGCUUUCUGCCGAUGGUGCUUCCUUUAGCCUUUGAGAAGAAAUGCUCUCGCAGUCCUGAGACAGGCCCCCCAGAGUGCUGGGAUUACAGGCGUGAGCCACUGCGCCAGGUUGAGAUUGAGUUUAUUAAGUAGCUGCAAGCAGCUUUGAAGCCGUGGUCUGUGGCAUGUGUUGAAUGGUGCCGAGUGUCUGGGAUGGUCAUAAGGUUUCACGCUCUCCCCGGGAGGUGCUUGGUGCCUUGGGUGCCGUCUGGCAGUUGGGGAAUGGCAGGCCGGAGGUGGCAGUGGUGGGGCCGGAGAGGCGGAGACAGCUGCCCUUAG
rnacentral:lncRNA from 1 species